GCAUUGGUGGUUCAGUGGUAGAAUUCUCUCCUUCCGUGUGGGAGACCCAGCUUCGAUUCCUGGCCGAAGGA
rnacentral:tRNA from 1 species